GCCUUUCAGUCCCUGCUGCCAGGCUUUCUGGAAGAGCCUUCUUGCUAAAUUGUUGUUUACACGUCUUUGGGAUAAGCUUGACAGCUCUGUUGGGUGGGAACACUUAGGAUUGGAGCAGAAAUGGUUUAGUUCGUGGCUUGGCCACUGCUAACGAGGCAUUUGUGUUUCUUACUAGCAGGCUUUUUACUGCUUGUGGGACCAAAGUGGAGAUUCAAAAGGUUGGCUUUACCUCUAUGGGGUCAGAACGUGUUGCAGUCCUUCUUUCCAGAUAGUCAAAUGCCAGGCUCCGUUCUGUAGCCCCACAGCGUAAAUACCCAGCUAUUAGAUGCUUUGAGGUUUUAGGUAAAUUCUUUUUAGGAGGUUAAAAUGUGGUCAUGUUCUUGUAUCGUUUUUAAAGCUUGCUUUCUAAUUUCUGGCCAAUAACAUUAUGGCCAGAAACAUAAAGCUGAAAAGUUUUAAUAAUAAGCCCCUACUUUGAUCUGUCAAGCCCACUGAAUGCAGAAUGUAGACGAUCAGAGUGUGAUCUCACACCUUCAGAGUAUUGGGAAAGCAUCGUUACCAAUUUGUUAGCAGUGCAGAAGGAUCAGGUUGGUGUUUAACGUUACUGCUAGAUUGCAAAACACAAGUUAUACCAUGCAUCUCAUCGUGUCAAGUGCUGGAUGCCAUCAUUUUCCCUUUCAAUUAAAACAGAAUUGAGAGCACUCCGAAUUCUGCAGGAUGAGUCUUUUAAUUUUGCCUCGAUCACGUAGCUGCUGUUCCACAAUACCGUGAGCUAACCGUCCUUCCUCCGUUUCAGCAUGACACAUGAAAAAACAUCAACGAUUCCUGCAAGGCCCAGAGGUGUAAUGAAGUCAGAAUGCAGAUUGCCUGCCACUCAUCCCUGUCUGCUGCAUGCAAGAACAAAGGCUGAUGGCAGUGUGGAGGGGAAUAGCAAGCUGUUAGUGACGUGUUGGGUUAACGUACCCUGGUGUAAUCUUGCAUAAAUGAAUGGAGAUAACAAACAAAAUGAAACUUUGCUGUUACUCAAAGAAGGCAGUCUGAUGUCUAGCUCCAAGGUGAUGGAAAUAGCCUGAUAUUUUGCUAAUUGUGCACGAGUUAGGAGAUCUGGCACGUCACUUUACCAGCCUGUUUCCUGCUGCCUGCUUGUCAGUAACCUCAGACUCAUGACUGACAGCUCUGCACUGCUUGCUCGAAUAUCUGCCUUCGUCCCAUUUAAUUUGUAAUUCACUGAGGCAGAGCAGCCUCUCCCGUUCCAAAACGACUAGAGGAGCCGCAGAUGCAGGCGCACCUGUCACGCAGAAGCAGCAUAGGAGCAUUUUGGUAGGCACACAUCAAAAAGUGGAGUCAAGCAGCAUCCUUGAAUCAAGCACCAUGUUGAGAGCACCUCGUGGUGCUGGAUGUGUCUUGAUUACAGGCUGUGAUUCUUCACUCGCCCUUUGGCACAUCCAGAGCUUGAGCCUCUGCCAGCUCCUGUGGAUGUGGAGGCUGAUGGCUCGCUUGGGCACAGCACGAAGGGAUGAUGCCUGACAGCAGCUCGCUUGCUGUGUUCUUAGCUACAAAACUAAGCUUGCAUGUGGUUCAGACAAACACACUGAAUACUUGUCAAAAUCUGAAAUUUCAUUUACUGACCCGUGGAAUGUGGCAUAAGUGGUAGACGAGAAAUAAAUGUGUUCUCCUGAAACCUCUUGUCAGCACCGUGCUGCUGUUGACUUCAGGUACCGCCUUGUUUAGCCUCGCAUUGGUGUCAGCAGAGGAAACGGAUGGAUUACAGCUGCCAAGUGAAGUGUUGUCAGAGAGUGGGGCUUUUUUGUGGAUUCCAGCCUUGGCAGACUUGUGCAGAAAGUGUCUGCAAACUUCAGCUUGUCAUGGUGUGCCGACUACCUUGUCAGCAGUGUAAAUACUUGGUAACAAAAUGUGUAAAGCCAGAAUGUUUAAUUCUUCUGGUGCUUAGAAAGAGCCGUAUUUCAAUAGAGAAGGCAUUCACCAUGUAACCUGCCAAUUGCUCUCUGUGUAAUUUAUGUGAUUAUUCAGCAGAACCUGUGAAUUAUGCACGAAUUGUCCGUAGCCUGCAUCCUCUUACCUCUGGUAUGAUCGAACGCUGCUGGGGUAUUAGCAUAUCGCUCAGCUCAAAACAAGCCCUUUGUAGCUUCCCGAGUGCGUUCACUGCUUGUUGGAGAAAACAACAGCUGCUUCUGAUACUUUAAUAUCAUUGAACAUAUGAACCCAGGAGCUGAAAUCCCUCUUGAAAAAUAAAUGGGAAUUACAUUUAAUAAGAGGAAGAGUCAGUAAACUAGGCUUGGGCGUAUUUUGAAUAUUCUGUUUAUUUCAUGUUGUCUGAAAACGCACAGAUGUCUGUCUGCUGUGCAGCAAUGCUUAAAUAAUUAGAUAGUCCUGAAAGACUUAACAGACAGCAACAAGGAUGAUCCUUUGGUUUAAGACUUAUUUUGCUUCUUUGGGAAUUAAAUUUAACUUUUCACUGCUUGCAGUUUGGGUUGUUGGUUUUGUUUUUCCACUGGCUGCAUUCAGGCCAAGCUUUUCACUUUGAGUUCAUUUUUGCUAUGAUGAUUAGUAGUAAUUGUAAGUGAUUCCAGUUUCGGUGCCUUUUAAUAGUAACCUGAAGAAAUGGUUUUAAAGAAAAAUAUUACAGAUUUGGUGAAUGUUGGUUUGCAGCAGAAUUCGUACAUACGUUUGAUGUUUGCUUUUGUGUGAGUAGAACAGGAUCUGAUGUCUGUAUUUAUAGUUUGACCAUCCAGCAUGCAAUUCUGAGCAGCUCCUGGGAGACAGGACUUGGAGCUGCACAAAUUGCCAGAGCCCUGAAGCAGCUGAGGACUCGUUAUCUUGGUAAGAGGACACAGCUACCUGUGUGGCAGAGGUGACAAGGGCUCGGGCAGUCUAAGUCACAGUUAAACUCGAGAUCUAAUUCCUAGCUCUUAUUAAGAACAUUACAUCAGUGGAAACAAAGCACGCUGAUGGAGAGCACGUUGCAUUUUUGCUGCUUUGCAGGAGGAAACACAACAUGGAGCAGAGAUGGAGAUGAUUCACCCUGUGAAGACAACAAGGCAGUCAGGGGCUGGGCAUUCAUUUGGACCGUCUUAGUCCUGAAUUAAUGCCCUGGCAUUUAACUUGCAUUCUCUUUCCUGUCAUUCCCUUAAUUUUGACUUGAGUGUGUCUCAGUCUUGCUGUAAUGUUCCUCCACAGGCAACCUUUUCAGCCUGCUUUGUCUCUGCUCUGACAAGUUCAGGUCUGAAGAAGCACAGACCUCUUUUCUCUGAUGUGGUGCUCAUCUUUCGUGUGGGUGCCAAAGGUUCGUGUUAUACAGAAAAGAUAAAAAGCAUGAGAGGAGAAGCCGCCUAUUUUAUAAACUAAGUUUGACUUUCUGCUUUUUUAAAUUUUUCUACAAAAUAAUUCCCUUUUCUGGUUUUCAGACUGUGACUUAAGUCAGCCCAGUGCUGCACUGACUGCAGUCACAGGCUCUUGUCCUAAUGCUUUACUUUCUAACAUCUUAGCAACAUCACCCCCACAAUCUAGUGCGUGUUGUGGUAAACAGAAAACGUUUGGCAAGGAGAAUGGUCUUAAGACUGAUUCCCUAACAGUACAUAACUCUCAUGUCUCUCUAGCUGGUGUAAGCACUGCAUUCUGCAGGCAGUCCUGGCUGUAAUUCCUUGGCUUCAAGGAAAUUCUCUCUCUAGUGUGGUUGAAGUCGGUGGCAAUCAAUUUAACAUGAUUAAUGUAAGUUAUUUUAAGUGGGGAGAGAUGCAGAAUUGCAAGGCACUUCAGGUUUAAUUUUUUGAUUCAAGCUUCCCAGACUGUAAAAAUACAGCUGGGUAGGGGUAGGAGGGGAAUUCAUCCGUACACUAAACAAUCUGGUCUGGAACACAUCGGGAUACGAGAUAAUAGCAAUUAGGUGUAGAACAAAAGCAUUUCUCUGGAGCUGAGAGUAAAGGAUUUGAGCUGACAAGGCUGACACUUCCCUGCAUCAUCCCUCAAGACUAAAAAUUAGACUUUUAAUAGAAUUUCCUUUGUUUGGAGCCUCACUCCGGUCUGGGUAUAUAUGCCAGCCUUGGUGCUGCUAUUGCUUUUGAAGGAUUUCUGUUUUCUCUCCCUUGGUUUCUCCAAUAAAACUGGGAUAUUGUUUUGGAGACCGUCAGUCUAAUAUUCCUACAACAGCAGCAAAAUAAUCUGAAGAAAUAUAAAAUGAUGGAUUACUGAUUAAAAUGAGUGAGGAGACACUGGAAAAUUUUGCUAGGCAGCUGGCAGGUUACAUGAAGAGCUUGUGUUUUUAAUUUGACUUGAAGUUGGAGCUCUCAAUAUAAGUACGUAUUUGUUCUUUCUUGCUUAAGCCCAGCGUAACCGAAUAAACUGUAAAUCUGAAUCAUGUUAGGAGGGCUGCUCUGCAGCGACAGGUUGUCCAGCACAUCAGCCUCGAGGCAUUUUCAAAAGGCAUUUCACAGAAUCACGGCGCUGUUCAGGUGGCAGGGACCUCUGCAGAUCCAUCUAAUCCAGCCCCUGAGCUCAUGGUGGAGUCAGCUGGAGAAGGCUGCCCAGGACGGUGUCCUGUGGGGUGUUGGGCAUCUCCAAGGAUGGAGACUGCAACCUGCUCCUGUGCUCCAACACUCUCACAGUAAUUUAUUUUCCCAAUGUUUACUACUUUGCUUGGCAGUCUUUUUGUAGAGGAACAGGGCUUUGCAGUGGUGCCAUCCAUCCGUCCCCUUCCCCAUCAAUCCUCAUACCCUUCAAACACACACUCCAAUCUCCAUCAAACCCAACAGAGCAGCAGCAUCUCUAAAUCCAGUUCCCAUAACCUCCAUGAAAAUCAUCAGCAGGAAUAAAGAGAGGAUGGUCUGGGAGUGAGCCACCAGGAAAGCCUGUGAGAGCACGUGGAGCUCAAAGUAGAGCUUCGCCCUUCUCCCACCUGCACCUAGGAGGAUGGGGAACUGGAGAGAGGAGGGGAGUAUCAAGGAAGCUGUAUUGUGCUGGGGGGAGGAGAGAAGUAAUGAUAGCAAAACCUGACUGCCUACAGAUCUGCGUGCUAUCUUUGCUUGCUGAACGUAUGUUUUAAAGCCCGUUCUCGAUUUUGCUAGGCGUUCUGUAGCUGUGUGGGUAAGAGCGUGUGGGCUGCAGAUAGACUCUUGCACACUGACUAAAUGAGGCUUUAUUCUGGUCGGGAGAGCUACCCACAGGCUAUUCAAACACCGAGGGGAGCCCUGCUGCUUCAUACUUGAUUACAGGUUCUGCCUGUUUUUGCUUGCUUUUGGCUUUUUCCUUGUUUAGCCAUAUUUGCAUUUGUCAGUAAUCAGACUGCAAUGCUCAUUGUUCUUUUGGGGAUUUUUGCACAGCUCACAUUCUUUAAUUGACAGUUGCACCAACAAUAGAAAGACGUAUGUUAUUCAGAUUGCUUAAGAGGUCAGUGCUUUGAAAUGACUUCAUCUUGUGUUAUUAAUUCUUCAUUGUAAAAUUGAGUAUCGCAUCAUAGCUGAGUCUGUGAUGUCGCGCUUAUUGCUUGGCAAGAAAUUACAGUGAAAAAAGGAAGUGCCCAAGAGUUUGCUGUGGGAUGCGAGGCUAUGGAAGAGAAGAGCUGGAGGUGGUAUGAGCACUUCUAUAUACACACAAAACAGUGAGAACAAUAAGAUACUCUUAAUGAAACUUAUUAGCAUAAGAAAUGUCUUGCCAAAUGUGAUGAUUGAUUGCAACAAGACUUCAGGAACCCUUUGGUCUUCGUUUGGUUUCCUGCUGCUGCUUCUCCUGUUGAAGUAUGUCAGGACAGCUCGGCAGACAGUUCCUUCUGCAGGAUGAUCCAAUUAAUCUUGGAAAUGAAACGCUUGAGGACAUCGGUAGGCUAUAACUUGACCUUUUUACUACCUUUGUCUCUUCUUAAGCAGCUUUGGGCUUCUUGGUACCUGUUUAUUUUACCUGAGAGCUCAUCUGGUUGUGCCAGUGUUUGUAAUACUGAUACACCAGGCUUAAACAUUUGGAUAAUUGCUUUGCUUGGCAAUCGGGGAGCCUGAAACUGAUGGUUUGUGUGUUCAAGUUGCACUCUUACCGAAUGCUAAACCUUUCUUUUCAAUGCUACCCUUCAUAGCACAAACACGUAGCCGAUUUGAGCUAGGACAGCCACCUCCAUCCUCGAUUUUUCUUCCACUGCUCUUCCAGAGAGACUUGGAAAGAGCUACCAAAAUAGAUCCGUGCCUCCUCAGCUUCUUGAUUUGUGUGUGCACCGGGGUCCAAGAAUUUAGGACACAGAUUGGUAUGUUUUUAUCUUUAGCUUGUUCAGUGCUGGACUUUGUCAACAGCUCAAUUGAUGCAAUUGGCUCAAGGAAGGGCAGGCAGCAGAAAGGCUGUUCAGCGCGUGUCCAGGCAAGGGUUAUCCUGCUCUCAUUAUGUUAGCUUCAAGCUGGCAUUAUCAGGCCCUCAUUUUUUUUAAAAAGUUGUUUGCAUUGCAGAAUAUUUGAGUCAACAUGUUGCUUAGAUUAGUGUGCUCCUGUCCUCGCUGUGCUGCUUUAUGUACUCGUGUUUGAGCUUCUCUUGGCCUGGGAUCUGGCUUUGUCCGUUGCCUGGUAUAACGUUUUCCACUUAACCUCAUUCCCUUGCUUAAAUUGAUAGCCCUGCGCAAGCCCUUGACAUCCUGAAAUCUCUCUGGCUAAUAGGAAGUAGCUGGUCCUGAACAUUUUCUUCAGCAGCAGCGCUGCUUAUUUGUAACAGCACAAAGCUGUGACGUGAUGAAAGUGUGAGGGUUUUUUAACCUCCUUCAAGUAAAAUAAGAAGCUCGCAUUUAUUCUUGGAUACUGAACCGAGUAUCCAUUUCCCAAUGUUUUCUAAGAGGUUAUGAGACAUUGAAGGAUUGCUCUAAUUAAAUGCACCCACAAGUGUAUGUGAGGAUCUGAAGUAUAUGUUCACCUUUGGGCAGACAAACCUGUAAUCUUACGUGGAGGCCAGCCCUCUAUUUGUAAUGAAUCCCAAAGCACUUGUAACUGAUUCAGCUCGUGUUGCAUCAAGACUUUCUCACUAAUAUUUGCUAAGGUAGGGCAAACACCAGCCCUUCUGCCUUAGCUGAAGACUGGCAGGGAUUUGGAGCUAGGGGGAAAAUCAGAGCUGGUUCUGAGGCGUUCUCGUUAUUGUGAUAUUUGUUGUGAACUGCAGGACUCCAGCAGGUCCUGUUUGUUGGGGACAUCACAUUUGGGGGUGGGAAGCUGUUAAGCAGCAGGACAGGCUUCACAAGAGAUGACCUUGGUCUUCUGCAUUAGAGCCUAGCCUUUGCUUUCCAAGAUUUACAGGUCAGAAAAGAAUCUAGCCCUAGGAAGGCUGAACACUUGAGAUUCCCCCCCCAGAAAACCACAUCUUUAAUUCUUCAUCUCGGGAUUUUAUUGCUCUUUGAUUACAGGUGAGCUGCUCUAAUACGAACAACAGUACCACCCCAGUCCAAAAGCAUCUCUUUGGAAGAAUCUCACCCUGUUAGUCAUUACAUUUAUUUAUCUCCAUUAUUUAUUGCAGCAAAUCCUUUGCUUCCUUUGCACAGCCGACCACCCUGCUUGGUAUUUGUUGUUCUUCUUGGAAUUGCAGCAGCUGCAGUAGGACAAACGUUGUUUUUCUGUAGCAUUCAUGCAUUUAGAGAAUUGCACUGUUUUUUUUCUUGGAUUUCCCCACCAUUUUAUGCUGUCCGUGUUACAGCCUCAAAGCCUUUUCCCACUGAGCACAGAGUGCAUUAAGCAGCAUGUGUGAAUGAGCAACAGCACAUCUGCUAAUUGAGCUAACAGAUGUAAACAGGAAGAAAAGUUACUUUUGGAAAGCUAGAAAUAUUUAUAGGAACCAUCAUCCAUCUUUCCUAACACUGUGAUUAUGGAUGGAGCCUCUUUCUGGUUCACUAGAGUUGAUUAAGCUGUUGCAGAUGGUUUGACUGGAGGUAAUGACAGGAAUGCGAAAGAAAUGCAGAUGUCUUAAAGCUUUUGAGUUACGUGCUUUAGGCAAAUAAGUGGCUGCAAAGGAAAGCUUUUGUUUUGGAUUCUU